UAGGGAAUCUUUCGCAAUGGACGCAAGUCUGACGGAGCAACGCCGCGUGCGUGAAGAAGGAUUUCGUUUCGUAAAACUCUGUUGUUAGAGAAGAACAGCGCAUAGAGUAACUGUUAUGCGUGUGACGGUAUCUAACCAGAAAGCCACGGCUAACUACGUGCCAGCAGCCGCGGUAAUACGUAGGUGGCAAGCGUUGUCCGGAUUUAUUGGGCGUAAAGCGAGCGCAGGCGGUCAAUUAAGUCUGAUGUGAAAGCCCCCGGCUCAACCGGGGAAGGUCGUUGGAAACUGGUGGGAUUGAGUGCAGAAGAGGGGAGUGGAAUUCCAUGUGUAGCGGUGAAAUGCGGAGAUAUAUGGAGGAACACCAGUGGCGAAGGCGACUCGAUGGUCUGUAACUGACGCUGAGGCUAGAAAGCGUGGGUAGCAAACAGG
rnacentral:rRNA from 1 species